AUACCUUCUCGGCCUUUUGGCUAUGAUCAAGUAUAGUAUCUGAGGCAGGGCCCCCUACGCGCAUGCAUGUUGAUGUUUUUUCUUUGACCCAAUCACACACAGCCUUCAGGUGUGUGUGAUUGGUUCUUUUAUCCACUUUCGGUGCAUCAACUCCCU